rnacentral:rRNA from 1 species
AGAGUUUGAUCAUGGCUCAGAACGAACGCUGGCGGCAGGCCUAACACAUGCAAGUCGAGCGAACUCUUCGGAGUUAGCGGCGGACGGGUUAGUAACGCGUGGGAAUAUACCCAAAGGUACGGAACAACAGUUGGAAACGACUGCUAAUACCGUAUGUGCCCUACGGGGGAAAGAUUUAUCGCCUUUGGAUUAGCCCGCGUUGGAUUAGGUAGUUGGUGGGGUAACGGCCUACCAAGCCUACGAUCCAUAGCUGGUUUGAGAGGAUGAUCAGCAACACUGGGACUGAGACACGGCCCAGACUCCUACGGGAGGCAGCAGUGGGGAAUCUUGGACAAUGGGGGCAACCCUGAUCCAGCCAUGCCGCGUGAACGAUGAAGGCCCUAGGGUUGUAAAGUUCUUUNCAGCUGGGAAGAUAAUGACGAUACCAGCAG